rnacentral:rRNA from 1 species
GCCAGUAGCCAUGUCACCCUGCAAUUCACAUCUGGCAACCCACUGAAGCUAAGCAGGUGUGAACCUAGGUCAAUUCCCCAGAUGGGUGACCUCCUGGGAAAAGCUAAGGUUGCUGCUGGAA